rnacentral:rRNA from 1 species
UACGAAGGGGGCUAGCGUUGUUCGGAAUUACUGGGCGUAAAGCGUGCGCAGGCGGUUUUGUAAGCCAGAUGUGAAAUCCCCGGGCUCAACCUGGGAACUGCAUUUGGGACUGCAAGGCUAGAGUACGGCAGAGGGGGUAGAAGUUCCUGGUGUAGCAGUGAAAUGCGUAGAUAUCAGGAGGAAUACCGAUGGCGAAGGCAGCCCCCUGGGUCGAUACUGACGCUCAUGCACGAAAGCGUGGGGAGCGAACAGG